AUUAUUAACGAGGAUUUGGGAAGGUUAAGUUCUCAUCUAAUGAUUAAUGAUGUAACAAGAAUGAUCAACUUGAGAAAAAAUCAGUAUGUGGAGCAUGUGGUUUAAUUAGAUGCAAAGCGAAGAACCUUACCAGGGCUUGACAUGCCGCGAAUCCUCCUGAAAGAGAGGGGUCCCUUCAGGAACGCGGACACAGAUGGUGUAUGGCUGUCGUGAGCUCGUGCCGUAAGGUGUUGGGUUAAGUCCCGCAACGAGCGCAACCCUCGUGUUUAGUUGCCAUCGUUGAGUUUGGAACCCUGAACAGACUGCCGGUGAUAAGACGGAGGAAGGUGAGGAUGACGUCAAGUAAUCAUGCCCCUUAUGCCCUGGGCGACACACAUGCUACAAUCAGUUCGGAUUGCAGGCUGCAACUCGCCUGCAUGAAGCCGGAAUCGCUAGUAAUCGCCGGUCAUCCAUACGGUGGUGAAUUCAUUCUUGGGCCUUGUACACACCGCCCAUCACACUAUGGGAGCUGGCCAUGCCCGAAGUCAUUACCUUAACCGCAAGGAGGGGGAUGCCGAAGGCAGGGCUAGUGACUGGAGUGAAGUCGUAACAAGGUAGCCAUACUGGAAGGUGCGGCUGGAUCACCUCCCUG
rnacentral:ncRNA from 1 species